rnacentral:rRNA from 1 species
ACGGGGUGCAGCAGGCGCGAAAACUUUACAAUGCGGGAAACCGUGAUAAGGGAACACCGAGUGCCAGCAUCAUAUGCUGGCUGUCCAGAUGUGUAAACUACAUCUGUUAGCAAGGGCCGGGCAAGACCGGUGCCAGCCGCCGCGGUAACACCGGCGGCCCGAGUGGUGACCGUUAUUAUUGGGUCUAAAGGGUCCGUAGCCGGUUUGGUCAGUCCUCCGGGAAAUCUGAUAGCUCAACUAUUAGACUUUCGGGGGAUACUGCCAGGCUUGGAACCGGGAGAGGUAAGAGGUGCUACAGGGGUAGGAGUGAAAUCUUGUAAUCCCUGUGAGACCACCUGUGGCGAAGGCGUCUUACCAGAACGGGUUCGACGGUGAGGGACGAAAGCUGGGGGCACGAACCGGAUUAGAUACCCGGGUAGUCCCAGCCGUAAACUAUGCUCGCUAGGUGUCAGGCAUGGCGCGACCGUGUCUGGUGCCGCAGGGAAGCCGUGAAGCGAGCCACCUGGGAAGUACGGCCGCAAGGCUGAAACUUAAAGGAAUUGGCGGGGGAGCAC